AAAUUUUAAAAUUGAAUGGGUAUUCUUGUUCUUCAACACUGACUGUUGUCCUCCAAUUUCUUUGAGAUGGACAAGACAGAAAAACUUGCCCUGGGAAAGAAGAAAUUAAGAAAAUAUCAAGCAAAAGCUUCGUCAGGGACAACUCCAGACUCAUCACUCACCACACGCUCUCCAGCCAUCACACCAUCUGAUAUAAACUCAAUUUCACAUUCACUUACUUUACCCACCACCAAACAAGUGAAGCUCAAUGAUGACAUUAAUGGAAUUGGUCCUACAACUGACGUAAG